UACAGAGGUCCCGAGCGUUGUUCGGAUUCACUGGGCGUAAAGGGUGCGUAGGUGGCCUGAAAAGUUUGAUGUGAAAGCUCAGGGCUUAACCCUGAAAUGGCAUUGAAUACUGUUGGGCUGGAGGUUUGGAGGGGGGACUGGAAUUCUUGGUGUAGCAGUGAGAUGCGUAGAUAUCAAGAGGAACACCAGUGGCGAAGGCGAGUCCCUGGACAACACCUGACACUGAGGCACGAAAGCUAGGGGAGCAAACAGG
rnacentral:rRNA from 1 species